UUGGGUGCACGUUUGCAAACUCGGAAUACUACCUCAUCGCUCUUAAGAAGAUUCCAGAUACUUGUACCUAAGACCCUGGUAUGAGAUGUGACUAAAAUGCAGAUUUCCCGAGCCCGUUAUCAGACUGAAUGGAUUAGAAUCUCCAUAGAGAUAUAGAUUCUGGGGAGUUGUAUGCACCGAGAACAGGUCACGUGAGAGGACACAAUAAGAAGAAGCCAUCCGCAGAUCAAGGAGAGAGGCCUCAGGAGAAACCAUCGCUUGCUGACACCUUGAUCUUGGACUUCCAGCCUUCAGAAAGCAAGCUGACCCAAGAAGCUGCAUUCACAGUCCUGGACCUGUUUUGGAGUUCAGUCACUGGGAGGACUCCAGAGUUCACAUCACGCUUCUUGAAAUGCUUCAUGUACCCAGAGCAACCAGAGAUCUGGGAUGGAUUACAAGGCCUCCUUGAAGAUGUACUUGACUGAAGGAACACAGUGACAGGGAAGAGCAGUUUCAUGGUUUUUUUAUGCCAUGCAGUACUGUAUCUGGUAAACUCAAGUGUACAAAGCCCACAGAAAGUAAGGAAAUUCUGAACUAGAAGAGGAUGAACUGGAAGCAGUGGUCCCACAGGACACUGAGUAUGGUAAGAAGAAGCAGCUCUGAAGUCUGGAAAGGUGUGUUUCCUAGUGCAGUCUUUUCUGAACCUGCUUGAUCAUUGGAACUCCCUCAGAUGUUUCUCCAUCAGAGGGCAGGGAGGCUGGAUGACACUUCCAGAGACUACAGGGUGAAGACUGUCACCAGGCCAGUUUCAACUCUACAUUGGCUGUGAGACCCUUGACCAGGAUGGAUAUAAUUUUACCUUCUUCAUUGAGUCGUGAAGCAUAAGAGCUUUCAUUAAUUGAACAUUGCUUAUUCACCGACUGCUAUUCUGGAUGGAUUGCAUGGAUUAUUUGAGAGGACUAUGAGGAAAUAAGAGCUGAAAAAUGUUGAAUGACUUUCCGGCAAGUGACAAGACGUGGAUUUGAAGUCAGGCUGAUUUGUCAGCCCAUUCUCUUAAUUUCACAUUGAUGAAAAGAGAGGAGGCUAUCUACAGGUUGAGUCCCUGGAACAACACAGAGCUCCAGGUUUAUUCCUUCCUAGGGGAGGAUGGAGCAAGGCCUCGGGAAUGGCAUUCUCACAUUCGCCCCGGGUAGCUAGGAGCUGGACCUCCUCAGUAAUUCUGUUGUGUAUCCCAGUCACUGACGGGGCCUGUGAAAAUGAAAGGUGCCAAAGAGGACCACUGUGUGAUUCGGCAAUCCCACUCUGGGUGUUUAUCCGAAAGAAUGGAAAGCAAGGUCUUGAAGAGAGAUCUGUGCACCCAUAUUCAUGGCAGCAUUAUUCACAGCAGUUGAAAGGUAGAAGCAACCCGACUGUCCACUGACGGAUGAAUGGAUAAACAAAUUGAGAUAUAAAGCCAUGGGACGCCUAGCUGGCUCAGUGGUUGAGCAUCUGCCUUUGGCUCAGGGCGUGAUCCUGGGGUCCUGGGAUCAAGUCCCACCUCAAGCUCCCUGCAGGGAACCUGCUUCUCCUUCUGCCUGUGUCUCUGCCUCUCUCUGUAUGUCUCUCAUGA